CACGCAUGACACACUGCAUAUCAAUAAGCGGAGGAAAAGAAACUAACUAGGAUUCCCUUAGUAACGGCGGGUGAAGCGGGAAGAGCUCAAAUUUGAAAUCUUCAAGGUUUUACCUUGACGAAUUGUAGUUUAAAGAAGUGUUUUCUGUUGGAGUUUUGGUAAAAGUUCUUUGGAAUAGGACAUCAUAGAGGGUGAGAAUCCCGUAUUUGACCAUUAUUUUCAGCUGUGUGAUACACUUUCAAAGAGUCGGAUUGUUUGGGAAUGCAGUCCAAAAUGGGUGGUAAAUUUCAUCUAAAGCUAAAUAUUGGCGAGAGACCGAUAGCGAACAAGUACCGUGAGGGGAAGAUGAAAAGAACUUUGAAAAGAGAGUUAAACAGUACGUGAAAUUGUCAAAAGGGAAGCGUUUGACACCAGUGUUGUUUUCUCGAAAAUCAAUUAAAAAAGGCCGGAUUUUGUGUUGUAUUGACCUUAAAAGCUUUCUUCACUCUUUUCUUGUCUUUUUUAAUGCACUUUUCGUUUAACAAGUCAACAUCAGUUUCUUUUGUUGUAAAAGAGUCAUUGGAAGGUGGCUUUUUCUUCGGAAAAAGUGUUUAAUAGCCUUUGGCUUCUGCAAUCGGAGAGAUUGAGGUCUGCAGCGUAGAUCCUUCGGGGUUAGAUACAUUUGUGCUAAGCUAUAGUUCUUUAUAGACAACUUGUUGACUAUAAUCAAUCCUGUAACUUACUCGCUUAUGCUAUUUUACCUACGCUUAGGAUGUUGAGCGCAUGUCUCUCUCU
rnacentral:rRNA from 1 species